CCGCGCGCGUUGAUGUGAUUCGCGCACUGAUCUGAGGACAGUUGUGUGGUUUGCUUUUCCAUGGUGAAGAUCUGAUUCUGGAUGUAGGGAGAGGAAACUGAACGGCAUAUGAGACGACGACGGGUGGAAAAGUUUUGUUAUCGAUAAAGUGCAGUGACGACAUCUGCCGGUGGAAAGAUCACAUGACAACGUCAGUAAUCCCAACAGCAGUCAUAGGGAAGUCUGCUGACUUGACAGUUGUCCAGAAGACAAUCAUCAAGAACCUCUACAAUGAGGGUAAGCCACAGAGGGUCAUUGCUGAAAGAGCUGGCUGUUCGCAGAGUGCUGUGCCAAAGCAUAUUCAUGGAGAGUUGACUGGAAGGAAAAAGUGUGGUAGGAAAAGGUGUACAAGUGAAAGGAAUGACCACAGGCUUGAGAAGAUUGUCAGGCGAAGCCGAUUUAAGAACUUAGGAGAGCUUCAAAAGGAGUGGACUGAAGCUGGAGUCAGUGCAUCAAGAGCCACUGCACACGGACGUCUUCAUGAAAUGGGCUACAACUGUCACAUUCCACGUACCAAGCCACUUCUGAACCAAAGACAACGUCAGAAGAAGUGUCUUACCAGGGCUAAGGAGAAGAAGACUGUUGCUCAAUGGUCCAAAGUCCUCUUUUCAAAUGAGAGUAAAUUUUGCAUUUCAUUUGGAAAUCAAGGUCCCAGAGUCUGGAGGAAGAGUGGAGAGGCACAGAAACCAUGUUGCUUAAAGUCCAGUGUGAAGUUUCCAAAGUCAGUGAUGAUUUGGGCUGCCAUGUCAUCUGCUGGUGUUGGUCCACUGUGAUUUCUGAAGUCCACAGUCAACGCAGCCAUCUACCAGGAAAUUUUUGAGCACUUCAUGCUUCCUUCUGCUGACAAGCUUUAUGGAGAUGCUGAUUUCAUUUUCCAGCAGGAUUUGGCACCUGCCCACACUGCCAACGGUACCAAAAGCUGGUUCAGUGACCAUGGUGUUACUGUGCUUGACUGGCCAUCAAACUCACCAGACCUGAACCCCAUAGAGAAUCUUUUUUUUUAUUGAGUGCAUAGAAAUGAACAUACUUUUCAGAAGCCUGACAUUUCUGUUUAAAAUAUCCUUUUUUUUAUUGAUCUUAUGAAGUAUUCUAAUUUAUUGAGAUAGUGAAUUGGUGGGUUUUUGUUAAAUGUGAGCCAAAAUCAUCACAAUUAAAAGAACCAAAGACUUAAAGUA